rnacentral:sRNA from 1 species
GCAUCACUGUUGAUGUUUUAUUCGUUUGUCAGUGCUCAAGUGACACGUCAAAACACCACUCCGGUUAUUUUCCACCCAUGGAAACAGGUCCAUUCUUGCUACUGCGUACCGUAGUCAUUUAAUACGACGAAAAGGCAAAGGGAGCCGAUUUCUUUUUAAAUUCUUACGCGUCGGACUCCCUGUUGAUUCCUAUGGGAAGGGUUUAUCUCGAUCUUCAACUGUAUACUGCGUUGCCCAGGAUGGACAGGGGGAAUCGAGUUCCUCACAAAAGACAAGAGCGAAAUUCAUCGCCCACUUCUACGACAGGACGGAGGUGUGUGGCUUGGUUGGUUCGUCCCGGUCAUCACCACUUUUUACCUUUGCCGUGGAGUCCUUUUGGCUUUUUGCUGUAAAAGUCUCAAAUCGACUUUCGGUGAUGCGGAUGAAUACGAUGUUACCUAUGGAUCCCGCGAUGCGUCCUGAUCGUCUGCUGACAGUCAUCCUGAUCACCAUUCCAUGAUGAUACUUAUCCCAGCAUCAUUCUGUGGAGGAAGGAGUAAAGGGGCCCUCCAACAAAAUAGAGCACGCCCCCCCUUGCAUAUCCCCCUUGAGAGGCUAGGUUUCACAUUCCCAACCCCACGUUCCACGUGAGCAACAACGACAACCUUGGAACGAGCACCGAUGCUGGACGUUGUGGAAAGGAAAAGCAAAAGGAGACGGAUAAUGAAUAUUGUUGCAGUGUUCCCAGUUCCACAACCAAUUUUCUAUCCAUCACAUGGUGGGUAGAAAAUCUCAAUACCAGAGCUCAUCAAGCUUUGAGGAUCAUAGUUGACCAGGUAAAUUUCUAGGGCGCAUGGGGCUGUGUACCAUGUUCUUUACCGAGGGUAAAACUAAUAUGCAUUUCUACCACUACUAAUCCGUAUCAAUUCUCUAAACCAUAGAGCAAUAAUGCCACAUUUUGAUACCUUAGCUAGUAAAUACAUAUCUCUCUCUCCUCCAUGUGGAAAACCAUUGGGCCUGACAAGCCCAUCCUCUCCUUCCCACUCGUAGUAUCCCAAGGGCAUCAGAUCGUUGAGGGAUCAGAUCCUUCAUGAAAUUUAAACCAGUUAUGCUUUAAUUCCUCCACUACGCAUUUCGUUAUUCCUAUUCGGUCCUCGGCCGGCAACUUUUUCCUUCUCUGAACUCUUAGAGCACUUGAACUAGUUACUAAUAAAUAAUUUUCCGAACCGCUGUCGUCAAUAUAAAAAUGUCGUGGCAACUCUAAACAGUUUCCUCCAAUAACCCUCCCCCGAUACAAACUGUGCUCAUCUACGGAUUACUUUUUUCUCCAAUUUAUUUUCCUUGAGAACCCCCCCAAGCAAGGAACUUGUCAGGGAGCAACUAGGUUUGAAGAGGGUUGAGUAUCUAGAAAGUUCAGCGCUCCACGCCCUUGAGUUAGUUAUUCCUCCCAACCACCGACUCUAGCCCCUCAUAACAAGCACAGUGCAGGCAUUCCUACCUGUUUUAUAGGGCUCGCCCUGAACGAAAUCUGCUCUGGGACCCCUGGACCGCUCAUACCGGUAGAGCCGUUCGGCCCGACGCUCCCUCUUCCCCCAGAUUUUUACUCACCACUCGUUGGAUAUAUCCUCCCUGGGGAUUCGAGCACCAUUAUUAUUGCCUGCCGCCGGGGGAGAGAAGGAAAGAAGGAAAGAAGGAAACAAGGAAAGUAAGAAAGAAAGAAAAGUGGGCUAUUCAGUUGUGUUUCCGACAGGUCCUCCUCGUAGGAAGCAGUUCCAUUCAUCACUGUUUGCGAUUUAUUAGCUCGUUGAUCCCACAAAAUUACGUGUCCGGAAUUUGUGUCACUCUGCAUAUUCCCAUCUGCCUGCCCUCCGGCUCCUUUGAUGCACGAUAACCGUUGCCAAGCAACGCCAGAUUGCACACUCUUUGUCGGCUAAAAUGGCACGUGACCACGAUUUAACCGCCAGGAUAACAAUGGACUGGCCUUCCACCUUCAUCAGGUUAUGGCCCUUUGGUCCUUCAGCGCCGUCAAAUGCUUGAAAGCUUUUCUUCAAUCUAGUGGUUGAUUCCGUCUUCCCUACGGUGGUGGGUGGUGAUUGUUGGUUUUGGAGCAGAUUAAGUAAAGUGCCUUGGAGAGGGCCAGCUGUCUCCUUUUUUAAGUUGUUUUUGCAAUCAUGAUGCAUGCAAUGCCCCUGGUAGGCUUGCUGCCUCUCAUAUUGCUAUGGUUAAUUGAAUUCUUUUGCAAUCAGUAGACAUGCUGCUGCCUCUCCUCUCACCCAUAUAACAGGAUCACCCCCGCCAUUCUUUUUUCUACGCCUGUUUUAUCUAUUCUAUGGCUUAACUUGUAUGUUUUCUUGAAUACCACCACCACUGCUUCCUGGGGCUUUUGCCCUCACUCCCAGGUUCUGUUGAUCAACACUACUGCAGCUCUCCCCUGGAGAAGGCUUCUAUUAGCCACCUACACCUUCUACUUGGUGUGGGUCCACAGGCUAUCUUGUUAAACCGUGGCAUUGGUCUUCAUGUGCUGCGUUCCACCUUGAAGCGGGACUGGCUCUCUCUAUUGACGGGGGAUGGCUCUUUGAGACCGAUGGAUCCAUUUUCAGCCAAAGGCUAGCGCGUUCAGGUCACUCAGCAUGAAAUAAUUCUGGUUGGGUGAAGAGAUGGCGUUGGUUUUUUCAACUUAUAGGAGACAAAAGACUGCUGGGCAACAGAAGAAUAUCAGACCCAUUAACCAGCAGUAUAAGAUUUCAUUUCUUCACGCGAGCAAGAGUCACAGAGAUGAUUGGAGCUGUACCAGGUCUGACAAGGCUAAUCUAGAAGGAUAAACAGAUGCUCACAUUGGAUAAAAUGAAGAUGUAUGGGCGACAAAUUGAUGAUGGCCAGAUUAUUAGAGCAAGCAGCGAAACAGAGGGGGAGUAAAACAAGUAAAGCAACUUAAAGAGAUAAAAAGGAUAAAAGAGCACAACACACCAGUAGACUGCGACACAUCGGCGAAGAAACGGAAAGAAGAGGGAACAAAUACCACGCCUCCUACGCGCUAUGCCCAAUUUAAAGUCCCGCCGUAGCACCACCCGCUUCAACCUCAGACUGCUCACGAGUAUCCACCGCGGUGGUCGUUUUGAUGGGAGAGGGAUCGAAGGACGUAAGAAACGAAUUUUCUUGCUGUUGUUGUUGUUCUUCAUAUUUUUUCUAAGGCCAUAUGCAGUCUGAGACUAUGACAGCCUUCACCUCACUAGCCUACCCUUAUGUUCGGCUACUCUCUAGUUACAUUUUGUUAGGUCACUGGGGCAAAAGAGCUCUCUCACACCAGCGCCAUGCUGGUAGUAGAGGGGACGAACCAAUCCAAACCCCCCAACACCCCCCCACGGACUCGCAACUAUCAUCUUGGCUAGCUGAGAACCAGGCCUGUCUUUGUUCUACCCUUCCACUGCCAACUUUUUUUUUUUUUUUUAGUGGUCAGCUGGGGAACUAGGCCCUUGUUUGUUCUGGUCCAAGGAUUCAGAGUGACUAAGCGCUUAUUUUGUCCGGACUUUUUAAGGACUGUGCAUUAGUGGGAUAGGACUUUUUUAUUUGGAUAAUCUCUGAUUCGAACCUGUGAUAGCAUGUUGGCACACCUUGCAGCGAUUGCGCUGACACGGGCCUCAUAACCUGUUAGGUCACUGGGGCAAAAGAGCUCUCUCACACCAGCGCCAUGCUGGUAGUAGAGGGGACGAACCAAUCCAAACCCCCCAACACAUUUCUCUAUCCAUAACUGAGUCAUCCUUGAUGGAGAGACUUCACUAUACCAUUCUGGAUCUAGCCCUCAAGGGGGGCCUUGCCCCACAAUUGCUCACGCAAUACUAAGCAGUCCCUUGCUCGUCUGAGGAGGAGCUUUCAGAGCCAGGCUCUGCGGGUCCUUGCUGAAAGUCGUUGGAACCAAGCCAAUCCCCCACACUGCGAGCUGCCUCUCCAACUGGCAUGUCGUCAUCGUCGUCGUCUUCAUCGUAGCCUUGGUACUCAGCAGCCGCCGACAUAGAUAACACACGGUUCAAUGCCCACUGCAUUUCUAGUAAUUCUCGACUUGGGAGCGGCAGUCGUUUAGGAUCAGUGGUUUCGAAGACUACUUUGUGACCCGAAGUUAUGGCCUGGCCAUCGAUACUGAUAGGGAAAGUCGGAACGCCACUCUUAUAAAAAGAAUUUUGUAAACCUCUGCUCGACAGGGUUGGAGUAUCAAGAGGAAUGGUAUCUAGAGGUCCAUGGUUGUAUCUCGGCAACCAAUGGAUCUCAGCCUCCAGCUUGGUUUUAUCGUCGUUGUAGUUUAGCGGACGAAUCGCGAAAUGGCCAUCUCCCCACAAGGCAUGCAAAGUAUUGCUCAUACAUAUCAAGUUAAAGCAGGCGUCAAAUGGUUUCAGCGGGUUUUCGGGAUCACGGAAUAUCAACGACCGCCAGGAGUUGAUCUUGUCUUGCGUCCAGAAGGCCUCAAGCACCUUCCAGAAGUGGGGAAUUCGACGCACACUUGGAGACUCGAUAAGGCAGUUGGGAUAGAUAUGUGCCACUUGGUAGGGGGCUGUUUUCGUAAACACACAUCCUUCUCCGUCGCGUUCUCCAGCAAGUGCUUUUGGUCCUCCUGCACGUUUCAGUCUCUUCCUUGGAGGCUCUACAUUACCAGAUCCCGAGUCCGAUGGUUGCGAUCUUAGGUCGUCUGCCGGGAUCUGGCGCCAUGCAAGAGCGAGUUUCAAGCAUUGGUCGGCAAAUGCGGCGACAAAAUAUGGGGCUUUUUGUGCAUUCUCAACGAGCCAUCUCAACCUCUCAAGAUCGCAAACAUGGACACAGGCCCAGAAUGCGGGCAAAACCGGCUCAUUAUUCAGCGCCUUCGCUAGUUCAUCGACUAAGCGCUUUCGUUCCUCAACUGGCCCGUCUAAAUGUUCGUUGGUCGACAUCCUAAAAAACGGAGAAGUGGAAAUAUGAAAAACGAACGAAUUAGCGAUCUGGAAGUAGCUCGGAGGUGGAUAUUAUUGGAUCGUCGUAGUGCAAGUGUCUGUAAAACGAAACUGAUGGAUAUUGGAUGGUGUAAGUGAGAUGUUGCGUCACCCCUACGCUAGUGUAGGUCAUCUGACCCAAAUAAUUUCUUGGUAAAAAAUGGUUAGAAUGGUGCUCUUUACCUCCCAGCUAGGUCGAAUUUCCAUUUUAUGGAUAGCCUUUUCGGGUUUAUGACUCCAAGAGGUUGGCAAGACACAGAAGACCGUCAGGAACUAGAGAUAGCGUUUUAUGAUCGGGUUCUGGCUAAUCUUGCUGCGCAGGGAUUUGAAGAAAUAACAAAAGAGCAACCGGAGUCACAAAAGGCGAUUGGAAUGUUAUUGUAUGGUGUAGAGCGACUUCUCAAGUUCAAAGACGAACGAGCUGAGCACUAUCUAGAUGGAUAUCUUCGAAGUUUAUCUUUCAUGAAUGGAUUCUUGUUGUCGUAUUAGAUCAGUCCUUGACGGGGCCUUGGUGCGUUGAAGCUUCAGAGUAUGCUUAUCCGAAAGUUUACAGUAUUAAGAGCCAUUCAGAAAAGUAACGAGGAAUGCCCGUGCCGAUCUUGCACAAAAUCUAGUUGCUGAGGUUUCGAUGUGGUAGUAUGUGCUUAAUUUUCUACUUCUGCAGAUAUGGCGAAACGAACACUCAGGGAGCAUCAUCGCAAAGUUGUAACUAAACAAGCGAGGGGUGUUAGAGUAGAGGAGAUUCCCAAGGAUUUGCAAAACUAAGACUCUUCCUCGGCAACAUCUACCAGCGGCAUAACCUUGCCUACAUGCUCUUCUGUAUAGUGCGGUGAGUCCCGAAACACUUUGUGAUUUCCCAGAGUUUAUAGGGGCACAGACAUUAUUCCCUUUGCACUCAACAACCCCCAUUUCAUUGACAUGGAAGCUCCAUCCGGUGAUGACAGGUUCACUCGUCUCAAUAUUUUGUUCGGAGAUGAGGCGAAGAGAAACACUGAUGAUGCCACGCCCACUAGGAUGUGUGAACUCGAUGAAAUCUUCUC